rnacentral:SRP_RNA from 1 species
UCCGGUGCGCGGUGGCGCGUGCCUGUAGUCCCAGCUACUCAGGAGGCUGAGGCUGGAGGAUCGCUUGAGCCCGGGAGUUCUGGGCUGUAGUGCGCUAUGCCCAUCGAGUGUCCGCACUAAGUUUGGCAUCAAAAUGAUGACCUCCUGGGAGCGGGGGAUGGUUACCUAAAGAGGGGUGAACCGGACCGGGUCCGAAACGGAGCAGGUCAAAACUCCGGUGCUGAUCAGUAGUGGGAUCGUGCCUAUAGCCAGUGCACUCCAGCCUGGCCAACACAGCGAGACCCUGUCUCU